GUGUGGAGGGACAGUGAAAGGAGAGGUGUCGGGCCAGGUGCUGUCACCCGGGUAUCCGGCUCCCUACGAACACAAUCUCAACUGCAUCUGGACCAUCGAGGCUGAUGCUGGUUGCACCAUCGGGCUCCACUUCCUGGUGUUUGACACGGAGGAGGUCCAUGACGUGCUACGCAUCUGGGACGGGCCUGUGGAGAGUGGGGUUCUGCUGAAGGAGCUCAGCGGUGCAGCCCUGCCCAAGGACCUACACAGCACCUUCAACUCGGUCGUUCUGCAGUUCAGCACCGACUUCUUCACCAGCAAGCAGGGGUUUGCCAUUCAUUUCUCAGUGUCCACAGCAACGUCCUGCAACGACCCUGGGGUCCCGCAGAAUGGGAGCCGGAGCGGCGACAGUUGGGAAGCCGGAGACUCCACGGUGUUCCAGUGUGACCCUGGCUAUGCGCUACAGGGGAGCGCGGAGAUCAGCUGCGUGAAGAUCGAGAACAGAUUCUUCUGGCAGCCCAGCCCACCAACGUGCAUUGGUACAAAGCAGCUGCAGAGCGAAUCCUGCCCUCUGGUCCCAC